rnacentral:rRNA from 1 species
GAUGAACGCUAGCGGCAGGCCUAAUACAUGCAAGUCGAACGGUGUAGCAAUACACAGUGGCGCACGGGUGCGUAACACGUAUGCAACCUACCUUACAUUGGGGGAUAGCCUUUCGAAAGGGAGAUUAAUACCGCAUAAGACAGUAACUAGGCAUCUGGUAGCUGUUAAAGAUUUAUCGAUGUAAGCUGGGCAUGCGUCCAAUUAGUUAGUUGGUGAGGUAACGGCUCACCAAGACGAUGAUUGGUAGGGGAACUGAGAGGUCAAUCCCCCACACUGGCACUGAGAUACGGGCCAGACUCCUACGGGAGGCAGCAGUAGGGAAUAUUGGGCAAUGGGCGCAAGCCUGACCCAGCCAUGCCGCGUGCAGGAAGAAGGCGUUAUGCGUUGUAAACUGCUUUUAUACAGGAAGAAACGACCCUUGCGAGGGGCAUUGACGGUACUGUAUGAAUAAGCACCGGCUAACUCCGUGCCAGCCGCCGCGGUAACAC